GGCCCUAUGGGGCGCAGCAGGCGAGAAAACUUUGCAAUGUGCGAAAGCACGACAAGGUUAAUCCGAGUGGUUCCUGCUAAAGGAACCUUUUGUCAGUCGUAAAACCACUAAUGAAUAAGGGGUGGGCAAGUUCUGGUGUCAGCCGCCGCGGUAAAACCAGCACCUCAAGUGGUCAGGAUGAUUAUUGGGCCUAAAGCAUCCGUAGCCGGGUGCAUCAGUUUUCGGUUAAAUCCACACGCUCAACGUAUGGGCUGCCGGGGAUACUAUGCACCUAGGGAGUGGGAGAGGUAGACGGUACUCGGUAGGAAGGGGUAAAAUCCUUUGAUCUAUUGAUGACCACCUGUGGCGAAGGCGGUCUACCAGAACACGUUCGACGGUGAGGGAUGAAAGCUGGGGGAGCAAACCGGAUUAGAUACCCGGGUAGUCCCAGCUGUAAACUAUGCAAACUCAGUGAUGCAUUGGCAUGUAGCCAAUGCAGUGCCGCAGGGAAGCCGUUAAGUUUGCCGCCUGGGAAGUACGUACGCAAGUAUGAAACUUAAAGGAAUUGGCGGGGGAGCAC
rnacentral:rRNA from 1 species